UAGAGGAAGUAAAAGUCGUAACAAGGUUUCCGUAGGUGAACCUGCGGAAGGAUCAUUAAUUGAAUGACCAUGUUUCUCAGCAUGAUAUUUCAAACCCCACGUGUCUAUCUUACCUGUUGCUUCCGUGCUGCACAUGCUGCCAAGGUGUGCCUUCCGGUCCCUGGGGGUAUUCAGGUACCCUCCAUGGCCCUGGGGAGGAGCCGGCACGGGAGGUUAACCCACAAACUCUUGCCUUUGAAUGCCUUUCGUCUGAACUGUAGUACAUGAAAAGUUAAAACUUUCAACAACGGAUCUCUUGGUUCUCGCAUCGAUGAAGAACGCAGCGAAAUGCGAUAAGUAGUGUGAAUUGCAGAAUUCCGUGAAUCAUCGAAUCUUUGAACGCACAUUGCGCCUCCUGGUAAUCCGUGAGGCAUGCCUGUCCGAGCGUCAGUAAAAAGCAACUCAGCCGCGGCUGGCGGUUGGUGAUGGAGGAAGAGCACGUCUCGUUGUCGGUCUCCCCUCCCAAAAUCAACGGCGGAACGUCACUGGCACUCGGUGUUGUAGUAUUAUUCGCCGAUCACCCAGUGUUGUUCCUGCCACCCAAACCCCCAUAAUUCUCUUGAUUGACCUCGGAUCAGGUAGGGAUACCCGCUGAACUUAAGCAUAUCAAUAA
rnacentral:rRNA from 1 species